UGCCAGCAGCCGCGGUAAUACGGAGGGGGUUAGCGUUGUUCGGAAUUACUGGGCGUAAAGCGCACGUAGGCGGAUUAGAAAGUUGGGGGUGAAAUCCCAGGGCUCAACCCUGGAACUGCCUCCAAAACUACUAGUCUUGAGUUCGAGAGAGGUGAGUGGAAUUCCGAGUGUAGAGGUGAAAUUCGUAGAUAUCCGGAGGAACACCAGAGGCGAAGGUGGUCUCUUGGUCCGAAACUGACGCUGAGGCGCGAAAGCGUGGGGAGCAAACAGGAUUAGAUA
rnacentral:rRNA from 1 species